rnacentral:tRNA from 1 species
CAAGGUAGCCGUACCGGAAGGUGCGGCUGGAUCACCUCCUAACAGGGAGACAAAACUGAUUAAGACGUCUGGAUUUUUAUUUUUAGGCCUUAAUCCUGUCACCUUAGGUCGAUCGGUACCUCAUUUUAAUAUCUAAAAAGUUAAAUAAACUAGCUUUUGAAAUCCUUAAAAUCAGUUCCUAAACUUUGUCUAGGUCACACCCAGCAAGGGUACUCCUGGGCCAUUAGCUCAGGUGGUUAGAGCGCACCCCUGAUAAGGGUGAGGUCCCUGGUUCAAGUCCAGGAUGGCCCAUUCGGUGUUGGGGGUAUAGCUCAGUUGGUAGAGCGCCUGCUUUGCAAGCAGGAUGUCAGCGGUUCGAGUCCGCUUACCUCCACUGAUCGACCUUCUGAUAACGAAGCUCAAGGAGAACUUUGUUUGAUGUGAACUAGAAUUUGUUCUGAGUGAAUGAACCUAGCUUCUUGUCAUCUGACUAAAUUAUUAGUUUUAGUUUGGUUGAUAUGAUGCUGGGCUCACUGCAAUUUAUCUUGCAGUGAUCUUCAGUAGAACCUUGACAACUGCAUAGGUGAGUCUGGAAAAAAUAAAGCAUCUCAUGGAUGCAUUAUUUUUUGACAUAGAUUUAGAAGUUCCUAAUCUAAUUAGGAUUAAUAAAUCUAGCUCAAAUUAUAAUGUUUAAUUCUUGAGCAAGAGCCGAGACUCUAUAACGUUCUUUCUUUGCAUUCAUUGCAUUGAGAGUUAGAUUUUUAAUUUUGUUCUUUUAGUAAUAAGAGCUUAGAUAAUACCUAAAUUCUUAUAUCUAAAUUAAUUGGUUCAGAAUUAAGAAAAACAGUGUUAACAACAUAUGGCGUUCUAGAGAUUAAUGGUCAAGCUACAA